CCAAUACACCAUCGAGCCUCUCUGGACUUCCGCUAGAUGGCGCGUCGCCCUCAGCCCUGGUUACCUAUCGUUCAGAUGGGACUGGAACACCACCACGAGUAUGUCGUUAGUCCUAGGAGGGGCAACAUACGCGUGGGCAUGCCCACCGGAUUCAGGAACACUAUUGAGCACACGCCGGCGUGCGUUGUAUUCUUCUGCCGCGCCCAACGUAGGCCACACCCACAUCUCACUACAGUUUCAGGUCUUUGGUGUGGUACACUCCUAUGGGACGGUCGUUAAGGUCCUCCAGAGCAUACGCGUUCUCUCCUACUGGCCUCACUACCCGGCAUCGGAUGAGCUUGCGUGUGAACUUGGCAUUAAAGCCUUUUCCAAAGUCACCAAGGAAAAAAUUUCGGCGGAAUACCUCUUUUCCCGGCCUCGCGUAGAACACCCGAGCUCGCUGGUAGUACCCUACCCUACUACGUUCGUAUGCCUUAUGUAUGUAUGUAUGUAUGUAUCGCGAAUCCUCUCUUGGAUGAGUUGUCGCUUGUCCUGACCCUCCAGCAGCGAUAUGUCAUUAUCGCUCAUUGACCGCAGUCGCUUUGCCAGCUUGUAGCAUGACCCAUGCAUAUACAUUUACUGCCCGAAGACUGCAAAGAAUGGUGUUACGCCUGUCGCCACGUGAACCGAGUUCCUAAUAGCCAGUUCGAUCUCCGGCAGAUGCGCAUCCCAGUGUCGGUGGUCGUCUUCCAGAUACGCCCGGAUCGCGCUGUGUACUGUGCGAUUCACGCGUUCGUCAACUACUGGUCAACUACAAUAAAUAUGCACGCCUGCCCGUUCUUUGACCGCGGACAUUUGCCCAAAAAAUCAAUAUACAGUUUUUGGAACGGGCGCUCGGUGACCUCCUCUUGCCCCAUCCCGACCUGCAACCGACCUGUGCAAUCCUUGCACACGGUGCACCGUCGGAUAUAAUCCCGCACCUCUAUUACCAUGUUCGGCCAGUAAAAUUGCCUACGCAAUAAGUGCAAGGUUUUCGCGAGUCCUCUGUGCGCUGUCUUCUCUUCCGAAUGGGUUUUGUCUAUCAACGCGGCCGUCAACGAACUCGGAACCCAUAAUUUCCAGACGGAGCCCUCGAGUUGAUCGUCAAAUCGUUCACAGCGCAUGUGCUGAAAUUUCAUGCCAUCAACAAUCUGGAGAUCAGAUUCAAACUCCACCGUUUCGAAACCCAGGAUUCUACUCGGAUCCACUUCCAGCUCUUCAAUGCUGCGCGACAAUGUAUCUGCCACUACAUUGUCCACUUCUUUCCGGUGUUCUAUGCCGAAAUCGAAGGCUUGCAGUUGAGUGGACCACCGAGCUAGGCGACCAUCGAAGUUUUUCAUGGUCAUGAGCCAUUUGAGACUGGCGGGGUCAGUAAUGACUGUAAAUGGCAUUAGAUCCACGUACGAACGGAACUUUAGGAUUGCCACUCCUUCUCUGUCACCCAGUAGUUCUUCUGAUGGCAAUUUAGUUUGGUGGAGAAAAACGCUAUGGGCCUCUCGUUCUGCUCGUCAUCCCGUUGGAAGAGUACGGCUCCUACCCCAUAAUGUGAGGCGUCGCACUGUAUAUAGAAGUGCCGCUUGAAAUCUGCGUGUACCAGGACUGGUGCCGAGGGCAUCUGUAAGCCGAGCGGCCAUCUUAGCAUAAUUUUCUUUCUUACAUCGCCAGUACCGGCUUUAGCUCCCCCCGAUGUCCCCAUACACCAUCGAGCCUGCCUGGACUUCCGCUAGAUGGCACGUCGCCCUCGGCCCUGGUCACCUAUCGUUCAGG